rnacentral:rRNA from 1 species
CCUACGGGAGGCAGCAGUGGGGAAUUUUGGACAAUGGGCGCAAGCCUGAUCCAGCCCUGCCGCGUGCGGGAAGAAGGCCUUCGGGUUGUAAACCGCUUUUGGCAGGAACGAAACGGCGCUCGCCAAUACCGAGCGCUAAUGACGGUACCUGCAGAAUAAGCACCGGCUAACUACGUGCCAGCAGCCGCGGUAAU